GAUUGCCUAUAUAAGUACUCGCAUCUUUUUGGUUGAGAACAGUUGAUUGUCACCGUCCAGAUUGAAAUAACCUAAGAUACGUGCUUUUGAGUCAAGAAGAUAAAUACUUAAAAUAUUUUAAUUAAUUAAAUUGGAUUAAUUGGACGUUAAAACAUUACGAAUUAAUUUAAACCACGAUUUAAACAGCACUCCGAUUCCUGAGUUUGUAUUCCAGAGACGCCGACAACAUAACCUAUAAAAACAAACAAGGUUUAUUGAAGAUGGAUUUUGUUAGCUAAAACGAUUAUGAUGCAUUUUUUCUUUUAAUUAAUCAAGGUCUCGAGUGGCAUCGUUAAAAACCACGUCAUUAUCACGUUUGGGAGUUUGAAUCGCUGUUUUAUUGGUUUUAGUGCCAUCUUGUAUGAAAUUUGGCAAUCCAUGAGAUGUUGGUUUUUAUGGAAGGAUCUUCAUCAUUGGCUUAGAUAUCAUCACAUCCAGUUACGUAUGGUUAAAUAAAAUAUAUACAGUUUCCAGGAUUCGUUGAGGUUUCUUAUCCCAAAUAAUCUUCCUCCGCAUCCCAAUGCAAUUAAAUUUAACUAUUGGAGAUCUAUCUUAACUAAUAAAGAAUUAGAAAUAGAGAUGAAACAACCCAACCCAAGUCAACUACGAACCAAACAUUUUCUUGCUAUAAAAACAAGAUAAAUUUUCAAUGCAGAUGAAGAUUCUGAUGAGCAAGUGGGAGAUGUAAAAUCACUUUUAGAAGCUUGCCGUAACCCAAAUGAGGUAUUAUAUUAUAUUGGUGCUAUUUUGAUGUAGUAAUCUACAGUGAUUUCAAAUAAUAAUAGGAUACUGGAAGCUGAGUAAUGCCGUGAUAGUGCCACGUUGAGGUUUUAUACGCGUCAAAUCUCCAAGACGAAAAGCCGUUAGCCAGAAUAAUGCAGGUAAGUCGAUCUCUAAUAUUGUGAUAAGGAUUGGGUUUUAACUUUGUCCUUUUUGACAUCCUGUUGUACUUUGUCUUUCAUUCUUCUUGCUGCACCACCAAAUUUAAUACAAAUUUCAAAAUAUUAACACCACAACAAGCUAAAAUUUCGCCAGAUUUAGCUUCAAGCUGUUCUCUAUGUAAGCAUAUAAAUUGGAGCGAUGAGUUGGGAGUGCAAAAAAUGUUUGGAUGAGUAAACAAAGUUAAGAAUUAUAUUUUUUUUUAAUAUUGAGAUAAAAAGAGAUUUUUCAUCAGAACAUCUCCCUAAGGUAUAUCUAGAACGUUCGAUCGCAUAAAUAAUACGGAUAUUGCACGACGAUAAAUCCAUGUCAUAAAUUUUGCUGCACCAUGGUGUUGUAUAGUGGUAUGCUGUUGUUGCUGGUGUUGGUUGGGUAUCCGGAUUCUGGGGUCCACGAUACGAAAUUAUUUGUAUCGCCAGGCAUUAUUGAGGCAAUAAAUGUUGGAUUUAUUGAGCGAACCGACACCGUCCUCGGGAGAGUUUAUUGGGUGCGUUCGAAAUUAAUUUCAAAACACGCAAGACGCGGCGGCGGCUUUUGGGACGGUGUCGAUAAGUUAAAUCUAAAAAACGGCUCUCUCUAAGUUUUUAUUUUGGCGACCAGGUUCACCCCGAUACCGAGAUAUUUAUGGGGUAGUUCCGGUUCCACCGGGAUUUCGAGAUAGCGACGCGCCGGUAAAAGAGUAGAGGAUUAAAAAAAAAAAAAAAAA